rnacentral:rRNA from 1 species
UACGUAGGGUGCGAGCGUUGUCCGGAAUUAUUGGGCGUAAAGGGCUCGUAGGCGGUUUGUCGCGUCGGGAGUGAAAACCUUGGGCUUAACUCAGGGCUUGCUUUCGAUACGGGCAGACUAGAGGUAUGCAGGGGAGAACGGAAUUCCUGGUGUAGCGGUGAAAUGCGCAGAUAUCAGGAGGAACACCGGUGGCGAAGGCGGUUCUCUGGGCAUGAUCUGACGCUGAGGAGCGAAAGUGUGGGGAGCGAACGGG